rnacentral:rRNA from 1 species
UACGUAGGGUGCAAGCGUUGUCCGGAAUCAUUGGGCGUAAAGCGCACGUAGGCGGUCUGUUACGUCUGCUGUGAAAACCCAGGGCUUAACCCUGGGCUUGCAGUGGAUACGGGCAGACUAGAGGCAGGUAGGGGAGAAUGGAAUUCCCGGUGUAGCGGUGAAAUGCGCAGAUAUCAAGAGGAACACCUGAGGUGAAGACGGGUUGCUGGGCUGACACUGACGCUGAGGCGCGAAAGCCAGGGGAGCAAACGGG